rnacentral:rRNA from 1 species
AAUGAACGCUAGCGGCAGGCUUAAUACAUGCAAGUCGAGGGGCAGCGCAGUGUAGCAAUACAUGGGCGGCGACCGGCAAACGGGUGCGGAACACGUACGCAACCUUCCUUUAAGUGGGGGAUAGCCCAGGGAAACUUGGAUUAAUACCCCGUAAUAUUAUGAAGUGGCAUCACUUUAUACUUAUAGCUCCGGCGCUUAAAGAUGGGCGUGCGACUGAUUAGGUAGUUGGCGGGGUAACGGCCCACCAAGCCUUCGAUCAGUAACUGGUGUGAGAGCACGACCAGCCACACGGGAACGGAGACACGGGCCCGACUCCUACGGGAGGCAGCCGUAAGGAAUAUUGGUCAGUGGACGCAAGUCUGAACCAGCCAUGCCGCGUGGAGGAUGAAGGUCCUCUGGAUUGUAAACUUCUUUUAUUUGGGAAGAAACCCACUGUUUCUACGGUGGUUGACGGUACCAGAUGAAUAAGCACCGGCUAACUCCGUGCCAGCCGCCGCGGUAA